rnacentral:rRNA from 1 species
GACAGAGGGUGCAAACGUUGUUCGGAAUUACUGGGCGUAAAGCGCGUGUAGGCGGCCCUGCAAGUCGGAUGUGAAAUCCCACGGCUCAACCGUGGAAGUGCAUUCGAAACUGCAGGGCUAGAGUCCUGGAGAGGAAGGUGGAAUGCUUGGUGUAGAGGUGAAAUUCGUAGAUAUUCGGAGGAACACCAGUGGCGAAGGCGGCUCACUGGCUCGAUACUGACGCUGAGGUGCGAAAGCGUGGGGAGCAAACAGG